rnacentral:rRNA from 1 species
GACGAACGCUGGCGGCGUGCCUAACACAUGCAAGUCGAGCGAGGAGAGUUCCUUUGGGAACAACCUAGCGGCGGACGGGUGAGUAACACGUGGGCAACCUGCCUUGUAGAGGGAAUAGCCUUCCGAAAGGAAGAUUAAUACCGCAUAACAUUACAGUUUCGCAUGAAACAGUAAUUAAAGGAGCAAUCCGCUACAAGAUGGGCCCGCGGCGCAUUAGCUAGUUGGUGAGGUAACGGCUCACCAAGGCGACGAUGCGUAGCCGACCUGAGAGGGUGAUCGGCCACAUUGGGACUGAGACACGGCCCAGACUCCUACGGGAGGCAGCAGUGGGGAAUAUUGCACAAUGGGGGAAACCCUGAUGCAGCAACGCCGCGUGAGUGAUGAAGGUUUUCGGAUCGUAAAGCUCUGUCUUCGGGGACGAUAAUGACGGUACCCGAGGAGGAAGCCACGGCUAACUACGUG